CUGGCGGAAUGCUUUACACAUGCAAGUCGAACGGCAGCACGGGAGCUUGCUUCUGGUGGCGAGUGGCGAACGGGUGAGUAAUGUAUCGGAACGUACCCAGUCGUGGGGGAUAACUCUCCGAAAGGAGAGCUAAUACCGCAUACGUCCUGAGGGGGAAAGCGGGGGACCUAAGGGUAACUGAGGGCCUCGCGCGAUUGGAGCGGCCGAUAUCGGAUUAGCUAGUUGGUGGGGUAAAGGCUCACCAAGGCGACGAUCCGUAGCGGGUCUGAGAGGACGACCCGCCACACUGGAACUGAGACACGGUCCAGACUCCCUACGGGAGGCAGCAGUGGGGAAUUUUGGACAAUGGGGGCAACCCCUGAUCCAGCCAUUCCCGCGUGAAUUGAAGAAGGCCUUCCGGUUUGUAAAGCUCCUU
rnacentral:rRNA from 1 species